AAGCUUCGGCUGAUUUACUACUUAGUUAGUGGCGAACGGGUGAGUAAUAUAUAGGUAACAUGCCCUUAAGCCUGGGAUAACUUCUGGAAACGGAAGCUAAUACCGGAUAAUCUCUUUUUAUCGCAUGAUUUAAAGAGGAAAGAUUUAUUGCUUAAGGAGUGGCCUAUAUCUGAUUAGCUAGUUGGUAAGGUAAUGGCUUACCAAGGCUACGAUCAGUAGCUGGUCUGAGAGGAUGAACAGCCACACUGGAACUGAGACACGGUCCAGACUCC
rnacentral:rRNA from 1 species